rnacentral:rRNA from 1 species
UGGGGAAUUUUGCACAAUGGGGGGAACCUUGAUGCAGCGACGCCGCGUGAGGGAUGGAGGCCUUCGGGUUGUGAACCUCUUUCGCUCGUGUGCAAGCCGCUAUUUGGGUAGUGGUGAGUGUAGCGGGUAAAGAAGCGCCGGCUAACUACGUGCCAGCAGCCGCGGUAAUACGUAGGGCGCGAGCGUUGUCCGGAGUUAUUGGGCGUAAAGGGCUUGUAGGCGGUUUGUCGCGCCUGUCGUGUAAUCCUCUGGCUUAACUGGGGGUGUGCGGUGGGUACGGGCAGGCUUGAGUGCGGUAGGGGAGAUUGGAAUUCCUGGUGUAGCGGUGGAAUGCGCAGAUAUCAGGAGGAACACCGGUGGCGAAGGCGGGUCUCUGGGCCGUUACUGACGCUGAGGAGCGAAAGCGUGGGGAGCGAACAGG